rnacentral:rRNA from 1 species
UACAGGGGGUGCGAGCGUUGUCCGGAAUCACUGGGCGUAAAGGGCGCGUAGGUGGCGCCCCAAGUCCGUGGUGAAAGCUCGAUGCUCAACAUCGAGUCGGCCACGGAAACUGGGGGGCUCGAGCACUGUAGAGGCAGAUGGAAUUCCGGGUGUAGCGGUGGAAUGCGUAGAGAUCCGGAAGAACACCGGUGGCGAAGGCGGUCUGCUGGGCAGUAGCUGACACUGAGGCGCGACAGCGUGGGGAGCAAACAGG